rnacentral:rRNA from 1 species
UACAGAGGUCCCAAGCGUUGUUCGGAUUCACUGGGCGUAAAGGGUGCGUAGGUGGCGAGGUAAGUCGGAUGUGAAGGCUCGGAGCUCAACUCCGAAAUGGCAUUGGAAACUACCUUGCUCGAGGGUUGGAGGGGGGACUGGAAUGCUUGGUGUAGCAGUGAAAUGCGUAGAUAUCAAGCGGAACACCAGUGGCGAAGGCGAGUCCCUGGACAACUCCUGACACUGAGGCACGAAAGCUAGGGGAGCAAACAGG